GACGAACGCUGGCGGCGUGCUUAACACAUGCAAGUCGAACGGAAAGGCCCUGCUUUUGUGGGGUGCUCGAGUGGCGAACGGGUGAGUAACACGUGAGUAACCUGCCCUUGACUUUGGGAUAACUUCAGGAAACUGGGGCUAAUACCGGAUAGGAGCUCCUGCUGCAUGGUGGGGGUUGGAAAGUUUCGGCGGUUGGGGAUAGACUCGCGGCUUAUCAGCUUGUUGGUGGGGUAGUGGCUUACCAAGGCUUUGACGGGUAGCCGGCCUGAGAGGGUGACCGGGCACAUUGGGACUGAGGUACGGCCCAGAAUCCAACGGGAGGCAACAGUGGAGAGUAUGGCAGAAUGGGCGGAAGCCUGAUGCAGCAACGCCGCGUGCGGGAUGACGGCCUUCGGGUUGUAAACCGCUUUCGCCUGUGACGAAGCGUGAGUGACGGUAAUGGGUAAGGAAGCACCGGCUAACUACGUG
rnacentral:rRNA from 1 species